GCCUGGGUGGUGGAAUGGUAGACACGAGGGAUUCAAAAUCCCUUAUCUUCGGGUGUGAGGGUUCGAGUCCCUUCCUAGGUACCA
rnacentral:tRNA from 1 species